GCCUACGGGGGGCAGCAGUGAGGAAUAUUGGUCAAUGGGCGCGAGCUUGAACCAGCCAAGUAGCGUGAAGGAUGACUGCCCUACGGGUUGUAAACUUCUUUUAUAAAGGAAUAAAGUGAGGCACGUGUGCCUUUUUGUAUGUACUUUAUGAAUAAGGAUCGGCUAACUCCGUGCCAGCAGCCGCGGUAAUACGGAGGAUCCGAGCGUUAUCCGGAUUUAUUGGGUUUAAAGGGAGCGUAGAUGGGUUGUUAAGCCAGUUGGGAACGUUUGCG
rnacentral:rRNA from 1 species